rnacentral:rRNA from 1 species
GUCCACGCCGUAAACGAUGGGUGCUAGACGUUGGCGAGCUUGCUCGUCAGUGUCGCAGCUAACGCGUUAAGCACCCCGCCUGGGGAGUACGGCCGCAAGGUUGAAACUCAAAGGAAUUGACGGGGGCCCGCACAAGCGGUGGAGCAUGUGGUUCAAUUCGACGCAACGCGCAGAACCUUACCAGCCCUUGACAUGGGACUCGCCGGGACCAGAGAUGGUCCCUUCGGUUCGGCCGGAGUCCGCACAGGUGCUGCAUGGCUGUCGU